GACGAACGCUGGCGGCGUGCUUAACACAUGCAAGUCUAGGACGCUAAUGUAGCAAUAUGUUAGUGGACUGGCGUACGGGUGCGUAACGCGUAGGUAAUUUGCCCUAAGGACUGGCAUAACACUGAGAAAUCAGUGCUAAUUCCAGAUAAUACAACGAGGUCGCAUGAUUUUGUUGUCAAAGACCCAAAAGGUUGCCAUAGGAGAAGCCUGCGUCCCAUUAGGUAGUUGGCGGAGUAACGGCCCACCAAGCCUACGAUGGGUAGCCGGUCU
rnacentral:rRNA from 1 species